rnacentral:rRNA from 1 species
GAUGAACGCUUUCCUCGUGCCUAAUACAUGCAAGUCGAGCGAACGGACGAGAAGCUUGCUUCUCUGAUGUUAGCGGCGGACGGGUGAGUAACACGUGGAUAACCUACCUAUAAGACUGGGAUAACUUCGGGAAACCGGAGCUAAUACCGGAUAAUAUUUUGAACCGCAUGGUUCAAAAGUGAAAGACGGUCUUGCUGUCACUUAUAGAUGGAUCCGCGCUGCAUUAGCUAGUUGGUAAGGUAACGGCUUACCAAGGCAACGAUGCAUAGCCGACCUGAGAGGGUGAUCGGCCACACUGGAACUGAGACACGGUCCAGACUCCUACGGGAGGCAGCAGUAGGGAAUCUUCCGCAAUGGGCGAAAGCCUGACGGAGCAACGCCGCGUGAGUGAUGAAGGUCUUCGGAUCGUAAAACUCUGUUAUUAGGGAAGAACAUAUGUGUAAGUAACUGUGCACAUCUUGACGGUACCUAAUCAGAAAGCCACGGCUAACUACGUG